rnacentral:rRNA from 1 species
ACUCAAAGGAAUUGACGGGGGCCCGCACAAGCAGUGGAGUAUGUGGUUUAAUUCGAAGCAACGCGAAGAAUCUUACCAAGGAUUGACAUGCAACUGAAGAUAAUGGAAACAUUAUUGUCUUUCGAGACAGUUGUGCAGGUGGUGCAUGGUUGUCGUCAGCUCGUGUCGUGAGAUGUUGGGUUAAGUCCCGCAACGAGCGCAACCCCUAUGAUUAGUUGCCAGCGAGUAAAGUUGGGCACUCUAAUCAGACUGCCGUGAAUAACGCGGAGGAAGGUGGGGAUGAUGUCAAAUCAUCAUGCCCUAUAUAUCUUGGGCUACACACGUACUACAAUGGCCGUAACAGAGGGAAGCGAAGUAGUAAUACGAAGCGAAUCCCGAAAAGCGGUCUCAGUUCGGAUUGAGGACUGAAAUUCGUCCUUAUGAAGCCGGAAUUGCUAGUAAUGGCAGGUCAGCAUACUGCCGUGAAUACGUUCCCGGGCCUUGUACACACCGCCCGU